rnacentral:rRNA from 1 species
GAGUUUGAUCUUGGCUCAGGAUGAACGCUGGCGGCGUGCUUAACACAUGCAAGUCGAACGAAGCGCCUUAUUUGAUUUUCUUCGGAACUGAAGAUUUGGUGACUGAGUGGCGGACGGGUGAGUAACGCGUGGGUAACCUGCCCUGUACAGGGGGAUAACAAUCAGAAAUGACUGCUAAUACCGCAUAAGACCACAGCACCGCAUGGUGCAGGGGUAAAAACUCCGGUGGUACAGGAUGGACCCGCGUCUGAUUAGCUGGUUGGUGAGGUAACGGCUCACCAAGGCGACGAUCAGUAGCCGGCUUGAGAGAGUGAACGGCCACAUUGGGACUGAGACACGGCCCAAACUCCUACGGGAGGCAGCAGUGGGGAAUAUUGCACAAUGGGGGAAACCCUGAUGCAGCAACGCCGCGUGAGUGAAGAAGUAUUUCGGUAUGUAAAGCUCUAUCAGCAGGGAAGAAAGUGACGGUACCUGACUAAGAAGCCCCGGCUAACUACGUGCCAGCAGCCGCCGUAAG